rnacentral:rRNA from 1 species
CCUACGGGGGGCAGCAGUGAGGAAUAUUGGUCAAUGGACGAGAGUCUGAACCAGCCAAGCCGCGUGAAGGAUGACUGCCCAAUGGGUUGUAAACCUCUUUUAUCUGGGAAUAAAAUGUUCCACGAGUCGGAUUUUGUAUGUACCAUAUGAAUAAGGAUCGGCUAACUCCGUGCCAGCAGCCGCGGUAAUACGGAGGAUCCGAGCGUUAUCCGGAUUUAUUGGGUUUAAAGGGAGCGUAGGCGGGUUAUCAAGUCAGCGGUAAAAUCGUGGAGCUCAACUCCGUCGAGCCGUUGAAACUGAUGGUCUUGAGUGGGCGAGAAGUACGCGGAAUGCGUGGUGUAGCGGUGAAAUGCAUAGAUAUCACGCAGAACUCCGAUUGCGAAGGCAGCAUACCGGCUCCCGACUGACGCUGAAGCACGAAAGCGUGGGUAUCGAACAGGAUUAGAUACCCUUGUAGUC